rnacentral:rRNA from 1 species
AUUGAACGCUGGCGGAAUGCUUUACACAUGCAAGUCGAACGGCAGCACGGGGCAACCUGGUGGCGAGUGGCGAACGGGUGAGUAAUACAUCGGAACGUGCCCAAUCGUGGGGGAUAACGUAGCGAAAGUUACGCUAAUACCGCAUACGAUCUACGGAUGAAAGCGGGGGAUCGCAAGACCUCGCGCGAAUGGAGCGGCCGAUGUCAGAUUAGGUAGUUGGUGGGGUAAAAGCCUACCAAGCCGACGAUCUGUAGCUGGUCUGAGAGGACGACCAGCCACACUGGGACUGAGACACGGCCCAGACUCCUACGGGAGGCAGCAGUGGGGAAUUUUGGACAAUGGGCGCAAGCCUGAUCCAGCCAUGCCGCGUGCGGGAAGAAGGCC